UGCAAGAUGACGUUUCACACCGUAGCCAUAGUUGUGUUAAUCCUGGCGGUCGUAAAAAAGAGUGUCGGACAGUCAGUGAACCAGUCGGAAGGCGCCGUGGCUGUCCUUCAAGGCAACCCCAUAUUUCUUGAAUGUAGCUAUCAAUCCUCUGUGUCAGCCAGUCCAUUCUGGUACAUUCAGCACCCCGGCCACCCUCCCAGGAUUUUCCUGAAGGAUUUGGGCAAAGAUGGCUCUGAAGAAGGAGCUCGUCGGGGCUUUGAAGCGGAUCAUGAUAAAAAGCUGAAGACCUUCCACAUGAAGAAACCCGCCAGCCAGCUGAGCGACUCUGCAGUCUACUUCUGUGCCGUGAAGAGGGGUGAGCAUAAUAUGCCACAAGUCACGGAAGAGGCAGCAGGUGGCUCAUCUUUGGAGUGA